AUUAUUUUAAUAAUUAAAACUUAUUUUUUUCAUUUGGAUUUAAAUCAUAUUUUGAAAAUCAAAUAUUAUCAUCACAACAUCACCCAUCAUCAUCACCAACCAAAAUCAAGAAAUCAAAUAUUCAUCCUUCAUAAUCUUCACUUUCUCAAAACCUAGAAACAAAUAUUCAUGUCCCCAAAACUAAUUGUGACUUCAUCAACUCCUCAAAAUUUCUUCAACUCCAUUUAAAGAACUACAAGUAGAUGAAGAUUCUUAAUAACAACAAUAAAGUGGUUUGAUUUUUCUGGGUUUUGAGUUCUGAGUUUAAUCUUUGAUUUCUAUGUUCUUUUAUGCCCUUUUUUAAUUUGUUAAUCGAUUUGUGAUGAUUAUUUUAUUUUUCUCAUUCAAAGAGGUUUCAAAAUUUGGUUUGUUUAGAUUUUUUAAUAAAAACUCAUGUCAUGUUAAUUAAUCAAUUAAUUCACGAUCUUGGUACCCUUUGAUGUGCUAGAUAAUGAAAAGAAUAAUUUUUUUUGGUGGCCGGAAUUUCUGUGAAAAUACACGGUGGAAUCGUAGUAGCAGACUAGCAGCGUGAGUUUGUUCAUCAACCUAAAAUUCCUGGUACCCGGAUCGGAUUCGAGACCCGUUUUUGAAAAUCACGACCCAACUUCUGAAAAACUUUUUUUUUUGACUUUACAGUCACAUUAAAUGAAAGAAAAAAAAUAAAAAUUGUUCAUUAAGACAAUUAAUUACUAUUUGAAAUCUUUCCAAUACACUCUCAUAAUGCCAUAAUUGUUUUUUAUAAGAAUAAAUGUCUUGAUUUGGGGAGCUUUACCAAAUAAAAAUCAAACUUUUGAUAUUUUCUUAUUUUACUUUUUAUGGGAGACUAUUUGUAUUCUCUUUCUUACCUUUUUUUUUUUUUUUUACCUUUUUAAGAUAAAAAACUAGAGAAUAAAUAAAAAUUAAAAACACAAAUCGGCAUAGUAUGAAAUCCUAAAAAAAAAUAUCCUCCAAAAAAAAACAUCACUGCAUCCUUUCAAAUUUUUUUAAAAAUAAAUAUGGAAGAAAAUAACACGUACUAUACAUAUUAUAUAAGUUGUUACAUAUUUUUAUUUUAUUUUUUUGUAUAAGCAUAAGUUUUUUUUUUGAAGGAUGUAUAAGCAUAAGUUGUUACCUAUUAUUAAUGCUGAGAUCUUGGAGUUGGACACGAAUUAAUUUCCUUUGCAACGAGAUAAAUCUAUUACUACUUGUUUUGUUGUUGUUUCUUUUUAUUACUUCCUAUGGAGUGCAAUAUUUAACAUAAAAUUGGCAUAGCUAAUUGGUUAAUUGGUAUGGUGAUGUUUUACGGUCCCUACUUCGAAUCUAGGUUUUGCCAAAAUCGCUCAUUUUCUUCUCUUUUUUUUUUUCUGGUAUUUUAAAGUGGCUGAUUCUUGUCAUCAUCUUCAACCUUCAGCCGGGUUACUUCAACCCGGUUUCAGACACGCAAUACCAGCGCGAAAUUCGAUAAUUUCCCGACAGUUUCAAGUCGAUUUAAACUAAAAAAUAACAAUUAAUUAUCCAUAAACAUCUCAAAAACCAUUUACAAUACAUUUUUAUUUUAGUUUUGAUUCAAAUAGUCUAAAACAAAAGACCUAAAAUUAAAAUUCUCAACAUGUUUGGAUGAGUUUGUGUCAAAUAUGUGUGUUUUUAUUUAUUUAAAUAAUGAAAGAAAUCAAAAGGGAUGUAGAACCUUCAACUCCAUUGCAAAAUUCAUAUGAAAAGAACAAUGGUAAAAUUUGAAAACUGUCAAUUGAAAAAAAAUAAUAAAAAAAUGAAGGGGUGAAGGGGAAAUCAUAAAAAUCUGAAUGUUCGAAAAAAGAAAAACGGAGAAGAAGAUUAUGGGUUUUAGAUCUGAGUUUCUCUCAAGUUUUGAGUUUGGAUUUAUACUGCUAUGUUGAUGAAGAGAUCAAGAACAAUGAUGUUGUGAUUUUUUUUUUAGUUGCUCGGUGAUAUUGUUUUAAUUUUUUUACAAUCACAAUUAAAAUUAAAAACAAUUUAAUAAUUAGGGUAAUUUUGUUACUUUUAAUAUGAUAGGGGUUUAGUUGAAAUAUUAAUAGAUAUAAAGAUACAUGGUAGGUACUAUAUAAAUGGUGUGUACCAUAUAAUUUAAAGUUAGUCAAUACUGCAUUCUUAUUGGCCAAAUUAAAAAUGUAUCAAAACAGUCCAAAUAAAAAAUGCACCAUAGAAUUUUCCUAAUUUAAUAGAGAAAACAACAAAGGAGUCUGAUCAGAGCAAUAUUUGAGUAAUGUCUCAUUUUAUAAUCAAUUUUGAUCCAACAACUCACUUUUAAUUAAUGCUUAAGUAUGUGUUCACUUUUUGGUCCAUUAAUUCUACAAAAAUUUGUCAUUAUCCAACAAUAUUAUUUUCUUUGGUAAUUUUUCAUUUCCUAUCAUGAAAGGUUAUAAAAUAAUGGAAAUUUUACUAAAAAAAUGAAUAAAGACUUUUGAUGUGUUAGCCUUUUGUGACGUCUUUACGUACUGAGCAUGUUAAAGGGCAAAAUCAACACUUGGAUGUACUUUAGAGACAAUUAAUAAUGAUUACAAUUUUAAGAAGCAAUUUUUACAAUUUCAUAAGCACAAAAAGCUAUUUACUUAAUGUAAAGAGAGGCUCCAGUCUAUAAAUUAUAAAGUGAUAAGAUUUUUUUUACGAUAAGUUAUAAAAUCAUUUUUAACAUGCAAAAGUGGGGAACUAUGACUGAAAUUGUGAAGUUUGUUUAUGUUAUUAUUAUCUUUCUUUCCAUUUUUUUUGUUACAAAGAACAUCAACGCGCUUAAUAUGUGCUCUCAAGCUUAUGAUUGUCCGCGAGAUAUGUGCGAGGCUCCUUUCGAAGUGAUAUGUUUUGCUGGAGAGUGUCAUUGUUUUAAAGAUAUUUUUAAUUAGUUUAUUUGCCCACAUUAAUUUGUAUUUAGUUUCUGUUGAGUAUGGUUCAUAUAUGCAGGGGUAUUUACGACAUUCUAUUAUUAUUAUA